CACGUAGGGGGCAAGCGUUGUCCGGAAUUAUUGGGCGUAAAGAGCUCGUAGGCGGCUCGGUAAGUCAGGUGUCAAAUCCUCAGGCUCAACCUGGGGCUCCACCUGAUACUGCUGUGGCUAGAGUCCGGUAGGGGAGCGUGGAAUUCCUGGUGUAGCGGUGAAAUGCGCAGAUAUCAGGAGGAACACCGGUGGCGAAGGCGGGUCUCUGGGCCGAUACUGACGCUGAGGAGCGAAAGCGUGGGGAGCGAACAGG
rnacentral:rRNA from 1 species